UAAUACAGAGGGUGCAAGCGUUAAUCGGAGUUACUGGGCGUAAAGGGCGCGUAGGCGGCCAUGUAAGUUAGAUGUGAAAUCCCUGGGCUUAACCUAGGAACUGCAUUUAAGACUGCGUGGCUGGAGUACAGUAGAGGGCAGUGGAAUUUCCGGUGUAGCGGUGAAAUGCGUAGAGAUCGGAAGGAACACCAGUGGCGAAGGCGGCUGCCUGGACUGAUACUGACGCUGAGGCGCGAAAGCGUGGGGAGCAAACAGGAUUAGAUACCCUGGUAGUCCACGCUGUAAACGAUGAAGACUAGAUGUUGGAGGGCGAGACCCUUUAGUAUCGAAGCUAACGCGAUAAGUCUUCCGCCUGGGGAGUACGGUCGCAAGAUUA
rnacentral:rRNA from 1 species